CUCUUGGCGGUGGAUCACUCGGCUCGUGAGUCGAUGAAGGACGCAGCUAGCUGCGUGAUUUAGUGUGAAUAGUACAUGUAAGGGCGUGGGGUUUAAUCCCAAGUCGUGAGUUCGAUUUUAACCUCCCAAGUUUGUGCGGACAUUACAUUGUAGGUCCUGUCGUAAUAUCA
rnacentral:rRNA from 1 species